rnacentral:piRNA from 1 species
UAUGUACUUCCAAGACCCAAA